UUUUUUCGGUUUUACCCGAAUUAUGCACACCCCUAUUGGGUGGAUUAUUUCGAGUUUGAGUUUUUUCGAGUUAUGACUUUUUUAGGUUCGGGUUUUUUCAAGUUCAAAUCUUUUUGCGUUUAGGUUUAAUUUUAGUUUGUUUUACGGCUGCUAAUACCUCGUCGGUUGAGGAGCAAAAGGAGGAAUCCGGUCGAGGAGGGGCUUGCGUCUAAUUAGCUAGUUGGUGAGGCAAUAGCUUACCAAAGCGAUGAUUAGUAGUUGGUCCAAGAGGAUGAUCGGCCACACUGGGACUGAGACACGGCCCAGACUCCUACGAGAGGCAGCAGUGGGGAAUUUUCCACAAUGGGCGAAAGCCUGACUGAGCAAUGCCACGUCGAGGUAGAAGGCCCAUGGGUUGUGAACUUCUUUUCCCGGAGAACAAACAAUGACGGUAUCUGGGGAAUAAGCAUUGGCUAACUCUGUGCUAGCAGUCGCGGUAAUAUAGAUGGUGCAAGCGUUAUCCGGAAUGAUUGGGUGUAAAGCGUUUGUAGGUGCGUCUGUAGGUGGCUUCAGUGUAACAUAAUUU
rfam:Gossypium raimondii Chr11_contig_503, whole genome shotgun sequence.